AUCCUCUCAGGAUUGCAUCUGGAGAGUUUCCAGUCUUCUACCGGUCUCUGCUAUGGGAAGGAGAGUCAGGCAGAGGCCCUUCCAUUCCUAGCUUGGGCAGUGUCUGGUGAGUGGAAGGCAAUCUGCUACAAGG